GAGGCAGUAACCGGCACACUGGGAGCUA
rnacentral:piRNA from 1 species